rnacentral:rRNA from 1 species
GCCUAACACAGUGCAAGUCGAGCGUGAAGUCUUGGAAUGAAACUUCGGUAGAAUGAAGAGAUGGAAAGCGGCGGACGGGUGAGUAACGCGUAGGUAACCUGCCCCAUACACAGGGAUAGCCUAGGGAAACCUGGAUUAAUACCUGAUAACGCAGAGGAGUCACAUGGCUUUUCUGCCAAAGAUUUAUCGGUAUGGGAUGGACCUGCGUCUGAUUAGUUAGUUGGUGAGGUAACGGCUCACCAAGACAGCGAUCAGUAGCCGACCUGAGAGGGUAAUCGGCCACAUUGGAACUGAGACACGGUCCAAACUCAUACGGGAGGCAGCAGUGGGGAAUAUUGCACAAUGGGCGCAAGCCUGAUGCAGCAACGCCGCGUGAGCGAAGAAGGUCUUCGGAUCGUAAAGCUCUGUCCUUGGGGAAGAAACAAAUGACGGUACCCAAGGAGGAAGCCCCGGCUAACUACGUGCCAGCAGCCGCGGUA